UCCUCCUCACAGCCGCCUCUCACCCCUCAGCCCGUUCCCAACCCUCCGGCCUGCGGCUGUGCCUCCCCCCGGGGCCUUCUGUUGUAACGAAGUUCAGCAAAUUAGAGAGGCAUUAUGUUCAAGGCAACUGGAGAAGUUUUCAUACUUGGGAUGUUGAAUUGAAAGCAGCAGCACUUCCAGGAAAGUGGACUAACAAAGUUUCUGAUUACCAAUAUCUUACUAUGAAACUGUUGAAGACUACUGAAAUUCUGGAUGCCUGAGACAAAAGAGAGCUUUUCCUUGCAUUUUCUACACCAAUGUGUCCAGGCACACUCCUCUGAAGACCAGGUUCUUG